CGCCCCUUAACCCUUUCCUAUUUCCAUUUUUCGCUUUUCUUUUCUCUUAUUGCCGCCUACUUCUUCUUCUUUACAAAGUCUGAAACGCUCUCGGCUCUCCACUGUCACCCACGACAGACCUGAUCUGGUGAUUUUUGAAGCAUAAAGAGCAAAAGAAACAGACGGUUAGUUAUAGAUGAUUGUGAGCAGAGCUGCAGAAAGUCAGAAACCGGACC